CUCUCCUUUAAAGGCUUCAA
rnacentral:miRNA from 1 species